UGAUGUGUGGCGUAAUGGUUUGACUGCUAGAGUACAACUCUCUAGGCCAGGGUUCAAUUCCCAGCUCAGCCA